UAGGGAAUAGUGGACAAUGGGGGGAACCCUGAUCCAGCCAUGCCGCGUGUGUGAAGAAGGCCUUUUGGUUGUAAAGCACUUUAAGCGAGGAGGAGGCUACUCUAGUUAAUACCUGGGGAUAGUGGACGUUACUCGCAGAAUAAGCACCGGCUAACUCUGUGCCAGCAGCCGCGGUAAUACAGAGGGUGCGAGCGUUAAUCGGAUUUACUGGGCGUAAAGCGUGCGUUGGCGGCUUUUUAAGUCGGAUGUGAAAUCCCUGAGCUUAAC
rnacentral:rRNA from 1 species